rnacentral:sRNA from 1 species
GCCCGGUGUGGUGGCGGCCGCCUGUAGUCCCAGCUACUAGGGAGGCUGAGGCAGGAGAAUGGCAUGAACCCGGGAGGCGGAGCUUGUAGUGAGCCGAGAUGGCACCCCUGCACUCCAGCCUGGGCGAGAGUACGAGACUGUAUCCAAAAAAUAAAUAAAUAUUUAAAAAUUGUUUUUUUGAGGUGGAGUGUCUCUCUGUCGCCCAGGCUGGAGUGCAGUGGCGCCAUCUCGGCUUAUUGCAAACUCCGCCUCCCGGGUUCACGCCAUUCUCCUGCCUCA